ensembl:snRNA U4 U4 spliceosomal RNA
GAUCUUGCACAGUGGCAGUAUCGUAGCCAAUGAGGUUAAUUCGAGGCGCGAAUAUUGCUAAUUUAAAUUUUUUUCCACAUGUUGAGAAGGAUCUUCUUAGUAGCCAAAGCGAUUCUCAAGUAUUUGAGACUGCUCAAAGACA